rnacentral:rRNA from 1 species
GUGGGGAAUAUUGCACAAUGGGCGCAAGCCUGAUGCAGCGACGCCGCGUGGGGGAUGACGGCCUUCGGGUUGUAAACUCCUUUCAGCCAUGACGAAGCCCGUGUGGUGACGGUAGUGGUAGAAGAAGCACCGGCUAACUACGUGCCAGCAGCCGCGGUAAUACGUAGGGUGCGAGCGUUGUCCGGAAUUACUGGGCGUAAAGAGCUCGUAGGUGGUCUGUCGCGUCAUUUGUGAAAGCCCGGGGCUUAACUCCGGGUUGGCAGGUGAUACGGGCAUGACUGGAGUACUGUAGGGGAGACUGGAAUUCCUGGUGUAGCGGUGAAAUGCGCAGAUAUCAGGAGGAACACCGGUGGCGAAGGCGGGUCUCUGGGCAGUAACUGACGCUGAGGAGCGAAAGCAUGGGUAGCGAACAGGAUUAGAUACCCUAGUAGUCC